AUAGAAUGGAAUCCGUUGUGGAAAAGUCGUCAAAUUUGUUGGAUGCGUUGGAAGUUAGCACAACAUCUAAAGUUAAACAAUUUGACGAAAGAAGACUUAACCGAGCCUUUGAAUGGACAAACUACUUUAAGAAGGUGUAUGAAAGUGUUUCUCAAAACCCCAAACUGCUGGAAAACUGAACGCCAGGUUAAAAACCCUGGCUUUAUCUAGAAAUAUGAAACUCCCUGAAGAUUAUUUUAGUUUAAAUAUAUUCUGUGAUGGUGAACAAAUUUUGUUCAAGUUUUCUUUCAGAACUUUCUUUUUAACCCUGAUUUUCCGGCCAUAUUGCUACCUUCAUUGUCAACAAAAUCUGUUAAAACUAAUGUUUCUGCCAAGGAAACGUUUCCUUAAGACAGCAGUAGAUGUCAGUCAGGAAAAAGCUGUUUUAUGUCAUUUACAAAAUGUGCAAGCUCAAUUGGUAGCAGUAACUUCGGAACAGGCGACAAGUUAAUGAAACAACUCCUGAAGUAAUUUUGACAGAUGAUUUGAAAGGUUUUUUAAAGUUGGAAGAUACCUCUCUGUCCCGUGCUGUACAAGUUGGCACAGUCUAUUCCAGUUGGUGCUUGUUGCAGCACACAUGUGCCUUCAGCAUUGCUCUCUUCUUCAUUCACUUCUGCACAUGUGGUCCCAGAACAUGAAAAAGAUGCUGCCAAUAAAGAUAGCUUUACUUAGCCUACUUCCCAA